CAACAUGAGUCAUGCUAGUGA
rnacentral:misc_RNA from 1 species